rnacentral:rRNA from 1 species
GAUGAACGCUGGCGGUAUGCCUAACACAUGCAAGUCGUACGAGAGUUUUUAACUCUAGUGGCGGACGGGUGAGUAACACGUGAGAAUUUGCCUUUAGGAGGGGGACAACAAUCGGAAACGAAUGCUAAUACCCCAUAUGCUUUCGAGUGAAAUGGAUUUUAUCCGCCUAGAGAGAAGCUCGCGGCUGAUUAGCUUGUUGGUAAGGUAACGGCUUACCAAGGCUACGAUGGGUAGGGGUCCUGAGAGGGAGAUCCCCCCACACUGGUACUGAGACACGGACCAGACUCCUACGGGAGGCAGCAGUGAGGAAUAUUGGACAAUGGGCGCAAGCCUGAUCCAGCCAUGCCGCGUGCAGGAUGACGGUCCUAUGGAUUGUAAACUGCUUUAUACAGGAAGAAACACUCCGACGUGUCGGAGCUUGACGGGUACUGUAAGAAGAAGGAUCGGCUAACUCCGUGCCAGCAGCCGCGGU